rnacentral:rRNA from 1 species
UACGGAGGGGGCAAGCGUUGUUCGGAAUCACUGGGCGUAAAGCGCGCGUAGGCGGCCUCUUAAGUCUGGUGUGAAAGCCCGGGGCUCACCCCCGGAAGGGCACUGGAUACUGGGAGGCUAGAGUACCGGAGAGGAUGGUGGAAUUCCUGGUGUAGCGGUGAAAUGCGUAGAUAUCAGGAGGAACACCGGUGGCGAAGGCGGCCCUCUGGACGGCUACUGACGCUGAGACGCGAAAGCGUGGGGAGCAAACAGG